rnacentral:rRNA from 1 species
GGUCUGAGAGGAUGAUCAGUCACACUGGAACUGAGACACGGUCCAGACUCCUACGGGAGGCAGCAGUGGGGAAUAUUGGACAAUGGGCGAAAGCCUGAUCCAGCCAUGCCGCGUGUGUGAAGAAGGUCUUCGGAUUGUAAAGCACUUUAAGUUGGGAGGAAGGGCAGUAAGUUAAUACCUUGCUGUUUUGACGUUACCGACAGAAUAAGCACCGGCUAACUCUGUGCCAGCAGCCGCGGUAAUACAGAGGGUGCAAGCGUUAAUCGGAAUUACUGGGCGUAAAGCGCGCGUAGGUGGUUCGUUAAGUUGGAUGUGAAAGCCCCGGGCUCAACCUGGGAACUGCAUCCAAAACUG